ACGAAAGCGUGGGGAGCGAACAGGAUUAGAUACCCUGGUAGUCCACGCAGUAAACGAUGAUUACUCGAUGUUGGCUAUACACUGUCAGCGUCUGCGCGAAAGCAUUAAGUAAUCCACCUGGGGAGUACGAUCGCAAGGUUGAAACUCAAAGGAAUUGACGGGGGCCCGCACAAGCGGAGGAGCAUGUGGUUUAAUUCGAUGAUACGCGAGGAACCUUACCUGGGCUUAAAUGUAGUGUGCAUUAGCGAUGAAAAUCCUAUUUCCUUCGGGACCCACUACAAGGUGCUGCAUGGUUGUCGUCAGCUCGUGCCGUGAGGUGUCGGGUUAAGUCCCAUAACGAGCGCAACCCCUAUUCUUAGUUGCCAUCAGGUAAUGCUGGGGACUCUAAGAAAACUGCCGGCGCAAGCCGUGAGGAAGGUGGGGAUGACGUCAAAUCAGCACGGCCCUUAUGUCCAGGGCUACACACGUGCUACAAUGGUCGGCACAAAGGGCAGCUACACAGCGAUGUGAUGCUAAUCUCCAAAGCCGAUCCUAGUUCGGAUCGAAGUCUGCAAUUCGACUUCGUGAAGUUGGAUUCGCUAGUAAUCGUAUAUCAGCAAUGAUACGGUGAAUAUGUUCCCGGGCAUUGUACACACCGCCCGUCAAGCCAUGGAAGCUGAGGGUACCUGAAGUUUGUGA
rnacentral:rRNA from 1 species